GGAGGGAUACUCAAGAGGCUGAAGAGGCGGGUUUGCUAAACCUGUAGGGGGGCUUCAGCUCCCGCGGGGGUUCGAAUCCCCCUCCCUCCGCCA
rnacentral:tRNA from 1 species